AACGUAGGAGACAAACGUUAUCCGGAGUUACUGGGCGUAAAGGGCGUGUAGGUGGUUUCGUAAGUCUGGCGUGAAAUAUCUCGGCUUAACCGAGGCAGGUCGUCGGAUACUGCGGAACUGGAGGACGGUAGAGGCGUGUGGAAUUCCGGGUGUAGUGGUGAAAUGCGUAGAGAGUCCGGAGGAACACCAGUGGCGAAGGCGACACGCUGGGCCGUACCUGACACUGAUGCGCGACAGCAUGGGGAGCAAACAGG
rnacentral:rRNA from 1 species